rnacentral:lncRNA from 1 species
CUGACAAGUAUUCUCCAGGACAUGAGAUGCAGGAAUCGUGGGGUCAGAUUCUUAUUUAAACUGGGAUGGAGAGAACGGGAGAGGGCUGCGGAAGGCAAGGGAGGACUGCUUGAACAGGGGUGUACUGUUUUUCUGCCUCUUCAAUGCACCCAAACUUUACCACGCCAGCAGGACAAAGGUUAGGGAAGAGCUGAUAAGCUGGGCAUCAGAUCUGCCGCUGAGAGGCAGAGAGUGCCCGGCUGCCAGAGUCACUGAACUUUCAGAAGAGGAGCCACUGGAGAGAGGGGAGCUACCAGCCCAGGUGAGCAUCCAGAGGAAACUGUAUUCUCGGAGCUUAGAGGUCUGAGGAAUGGUUCUUAUCGGAUGGUUCUACUACCGCCAGUUACGGUCUUGGCUACAUCCUUCGGCACCUGCUGCCAGUGUUUCAAAUGAAAGAAAGAUACCAGCUGAAGAGGGUGUUUCUGACUAACUCAGGGUCGGCAUGCUGAGUAAGUUAAACUGCAGAGGACACUCCUCCCAGCGCGUGGCCCAUGGGGAAGAGUCUCAACCUACCAGUUCCACAGACACAGAUACCAGCUGUAUGUGCUGAUCCUGAUAAAACCGACAGGCUGUAUAUGGGUGUUCAGCUUGUACACCACAUGCCUCCCUGGUGUCUACAGAUGUCAGAAGUGUCAGGUGCCCUGGAAUUGCGGUCAUGGAUGAUGGUGGACUCCCAUAUGGUUGUUGCAAACUGAACCUAGGUCUUCUGCAAGAGCAACAAGUUCUCUUAACUGCUGAGCCAUCUCUCCAGCUCCCAUACUUUCUCUUUUAAGUUUUAAGGUUUUCCAUUUAUGUGAGUGUGUGUGUGUGUGUGGGGGGGGGGUGUUUGAACAUACCACAGCACACAUCUGGCAUUCAGAGGACAGAGGCAGUUCUCUCUUUCCACAUUGUGGGUUCCACAAGUCUAACUCACACUGUUGGGCCUGUGCAGCAAGCUCCUUGAUCUGCUGAGCCAUCUUGCCAGUCUGAUUUUCCAUCUUUUUCCCCAGGCUACACGUAAGCAAGUGGCAUGCCCUGAGUGAGUGCCAUUUUCAUAUCACAGUGUGAAACACAUUAUCAAUAGAGUUUGGCGAGAAACAGAUGAAGAGCUACUUUAAAUGCUCAGCACAUAGCACAGGAUAAGGCAAAUGCCUCAUAACAAUAGAGACUCGGAGUUCUCCAACUCUCUAAUCUAUGUAUGGACACGGGUAAAGACGUCUCCAGUGUGUCUGAUAUGCCACAAGCCUUGGUGCAUGCUUCUCUUUUGUGAGAUACCUAUUCUAAGCCACAGGGACUCUAAACACUUGGUAAGGAUUUUCUAAAACAAUGAAUAAUUCAUAAAGCAUUUAGCAGAACUCUUAAGCUACAACCAUGAUCCAUGCAGCCCCUUUAGAGAUGUAGCUCAUUGGCAGAACCUAGCAUGCAGGAGGGGCUAGGAUCAAUCAAUCCUCAGCAACAUGAAAAAUCCAAGCAAAAAGAAGUUGAUUCUUUCUGGGCAGUGGUGGUGUCCACGUUUGAUCCCAGCACUCAAGAGACAGAGGUAGGCAGAUCUCUGUGAGUUCGAGGCCAGCCUGGUCUACAGAGCUAAUUCUAGGACAGCCAAGGCUACACAAAGAACCACUGUCUCAAACAAACAAAAAACAAAGUAGACUCUCUUGGUCCCCUUUUGGCUAAACCAUCUUCUUUUGCAAUUAACCAAGAGGUUCAUAAAGAACGUGAGAACUAUGCAUUAAAGGUUAGAUGCUAUGCAUGUAAUCAAACAUUGCUGAGCCUCUGCCUGCCCUUCGGUACAAUGGUUCCCGAACGAGAGACUGCAUUCUAUGAAAACCCAAGGUGCUCACCUCACACACUGCUAAAUGAGUGUCAGCCACCUAACUUUCCAUCUGAUGACAUUUUCCAUUGAGUGAUAAGUAGUGAUCAAUGGAACCCCAGCCCACACCACCUUCAUAAUUAGUAGCAAGUCCUGAUUGAUGGACACUAUGCCCAGGAACCUUUCAAUAGGCUG